rnacentral:rRNA from 1 species
UUCGGCUGUUUAUCAAAAACAUUGCCUUUAGCCCACAGUAUUAAAGGUAACGCCUGCCCAGUGAUAAAUUAAACGGCCGCGGGAUCCUCCACCGUGCAAAGGUAGCAUAAUCACUUGUCCCCUAAAUAGUGACUAGUAUGAACGGCCAAAUGAAGAUUUUACUGUCUCUUAUAGCCAAUCUAUGAAACUAAUCUAUCAGUACAAAAACUGAUAUUCUUACAUAAGACGAAAAGACCCUGUGGAACUUUAAGCACAACUCACCAAAUGAUAUUACUGCUUUUAGUUGGGGCAACUUUGGAAAUAAACAAAACUUCCAAUUAAAAAAUAAGAUAAACACAUCUACACAUCAUCAUUGACCCAGCACAUGCUGACCAAAGAACCAAGCUACCCCAGGGAUAACAGCGCUAUCCCCUCCUAGAGCCCAAAUCGACGAGCGGGGUUUACGACCUCGAUGUUGGAUCAGGGCCCCCAAACAGUGCAACAGCUGUUAAAGGUUUGUUUGUUCAACAAUUAAUAGCCCUACGUGAUCUGAGUUCAGACC